UCUUGCAUGCCUGAUCCACCCCUGGAACGCAUCAACUGAACUGUCUAGGCAGGCUUCUUCCAUGGCCUGGAGGAGGUGAACACGGAUGUAAGGUUCUCAGUCACUUUUUACUGCCAUGCCGAAAAAAAAAAAACUCCUCUAUCUGGUUUUAGAAAGGGAGAUGUAUCCUGGGAUUCAUUCAAAGCUUUAAUUUGUCUGAAAAAGUGAUA